GGAAAUCCCACGGUUCAUGGCGAUCCAUCUGUUUCACCAGAAGGAAAUCCCACAGUUCACGGAGAUCCAUCCGUUUCACCAGAAGAGACUCUGCAGAGGUGUCAGUCUAAACUCAAGUCUCAUCUGAAGAAGAAGUACCAGUGUGUGUUUGAGGGGAUCGCUGUAACAUUAAGCGAAACCCUUCUGAAUCAGAUCUGCACAGAGCUCUACACCAUAGAGCGAAGGGCUGCAGAGAUUAAUGAUGAACAUGAGGUCAAACAGAUUGAAACAGCAUCAAGGAAACCAGUCAGACCAGAAACCACAAUCAGACACGAAGACAUCUUUAAAGCCUCACCUGGAAGAAAUCAGCCAAUCAGAACAGUGCUGACAAAGGGAGUGGCUGGCAUUGGGAAAACAGUCUUAACACAGAAAUACACCCUCGACU